GUACGAUCAAAAGCAAUAAAUACAAGUUACCUCAAAUAAUUUGUGUCUGGAUAUUUAUAGGGCCCAAAUGUACAGUGUUGAUUGGUCCCAUCAUCGGAGGCUGUGUCCCAACCCUUGCCGAUUCCAGCUGACCCCAGUGCAAUGGGAUCAGAUGCAGCGGGGGCUAGUAGUUCACAGGCCCCAGCCCGGCCGUGGGAUGCACCACCACCACCAGUGCUGCUACUUCCCGCACAGGCCCAGAGGUGUUACAUCAGUCUCCGGGAUGCGAGGUCCGACCAUAAUUUUCACACGGCCAUCAAUAAUGCGGUCAAAGGCAUUAUUCGUAUCCCUAGGCCAACAAAUCGCAGAUCCCAUAGGAGCACCAGCUAUUCUGGUUCCAGAAGUUGAAGAUGUCGUAUUGGCGGAAUGCGACGACAAGAGCAUGUUCAAACUCGUCAACUCGCAGGCGAGGAAGUUCCUAUGGAAGCGGUUUGCUGACGCCUAGAACCAGUUGGCUCAAGGAGAUCUAGGGCUGGCCGGGGAGAUUUGGGGCCAGCUCUUGGAGUUCUGGUCGAGCCCAGAAUUUCAGGCACAAUCGGCCAAAAAUAAAGUCAAUCAACCAGUAAACCUGGAAGCUGCGACUGUCUAUCGGAGGGUCGUCAUCCAUUGGGGCACACAAACGGAAGAUGAUGGAGGUGUUCAAGAAUGCUACAAAAAGAAGGAGGACAACCAGUGGAGUGGUCCGAAGGCGGAGGAGGUCGCGGAGAUGUUCUUGUGGAUGAUGGAGGAGCACUAGCAACGACAGAACAUCAAUGAAGAGCCUCCAUUGUCCUCUCAAGGCGUGGCCCGGACGAGCAGCAAGUCUGGAUGUCAGCAGCGGGUGGCCGAAGAGGGGUAUUAUCGACAUACAAUAAAAUUGAUGUCGUGGAGUCAUAACACCAUUUUGAGAGAAAAAUGUCUUCUCUUUUAUAAUAACUAGCCAUUGUAGCACGCUAUC